rnacentral:lncRNA from 1 species
AUCUUUUCAGAGUCUCCCCAGUUAGGUCAAAAUGGCUGCGCCUUUACACCCGCACUUCCCUCAAUCACGGGCUUCAGGCUGUCCUGGGCAUGACCUCAGAUGAAGCGGCUCACACAGCUGAGGCUAACGUUGUCGGAGCUGACAGCUGAAAGCCGUUUGCUGACCACACUCCCACAGCCGAGCAGCAUGCCCUUGCUUGGAGGAGGAUUUGGAUGACACAGCUCUAUGUCUGCCGUAUUUUGGGGGUCACAUUCCUCACACCCAGCUCUGCCUCAAAUGGCAACAUUGACAAAAAUUCAUUCCAGUUGCAAACCAAUUGUAGAAUACUAUAAAACCAGAGUACAAGUCUAAUAGCAUAAAUCUCAUCCUAAGUGGAAAAGAAAGGGUCAUUUAUUCACACAUUUUUGGGGAAAAAAAAAACAACCUUUGCUAUGUCUUUAUUACAACACGGAUACUCACAAAAAAUAGUCAUAUAUAUUUUCCUCUUUUAAAUCUUACAGGAAAAAAGGCUGGGCGUGGUGGAUCACUUCUGUAAUCCUAGCACUUUGGGAGGCUGAGAAGCUCUGAGGAGUGAAUCCACAAUACAGUUCAAAGAGAGAUUUAAAUUGCUAAUUUCCCGGCACUGGAAUGUGGGGAAAGAUUGUCACAGAUUUAGCAUGAAAGCCAUGUAUUUAACAUUCCUAUGUAAUAACCCUCUCUUAAAUUGCAUUUUGGUUUGAGAAACAGCAAGAACAAAUUCAGCAUUAGGGGGAAACUUUGCUGUUGAUCUCAAAGGGAAUGAGAAUUUAGGGAGCACCUCUGCCCACCAGGAAGGAGCUUUCUCUUGAGUCUCCCACAUGACUGUGUACUAUGGAUCACAUUGGAAGAACUUCUCUUUUUCCUAAUGCUGUCUGAGUUUUGCAUUUUGGUGCCAGAACAGGGAAGUGAAGGGAUACAUAAGAGACACACAUAAUAGAAAUGUAAAAGACAAGCAAUACCACCAGACGAUAGAUGUAAUUUGGAACAAAGAUAUUUUUAUUUGCCUAAGGCUCAGAAAGUCGUGCCAGGCAAUGCUGGAAGGAAUUGGUUGGCUUCCUCUCCCAAACCACUUCCUCAGUGCUCAUCCUCUUUCAGGUGGACAAGAUAUGGCAUUUUGACUGCUAGCAAAUGUCACUGUGACAUUUCAAUGGCACAAUUGGUGACAAUUCAGCCAAUUUUUGUUGGGCACCCUCCACAUGCCCCAGGGUCUGGGCUCAGCCCUUUACGUACGUGGGCUCAUUGAUUCUUCCAUGUUUUCUAGAAUGUGAUUUUACCCUGGCUGGCACAGAGUAAAUGCCCAAAGAAUGGUAGCUAUUGUUUUUAAUCAUCAUUAUUAAUUUUAUAAAUAACUUCCAUAUCAGGUGAUGGGAAAAUUUCAGACUUUGAUUUGGGCCUUGGAAAACAGGUUCAGUUUCAGUAGAUGGAGGUAAAAGGAGGCAAAGAGCGACCUUACGUAAAUCCAAGGCUGAAGGAAGGAGGCUCUAAGGGGUGUGUGGGUGAUUAGGAGUAAAGUAUCUUGUCUGAAAUGAAGAGUUUCUAUACAGCAUGCUUAUUUGGAGUCAUGCCUAACAAGAUUACUUUGGGUCUAAUUUUGGAAGCUUGGUACUCCAGGGAGCUUGGACAUGAAUUUAAAGACAAUGGGAACUCACAUUUAAGUUUCUGAAACAGCCAGGCGUGGUGGCUCAUGCCUGUAAUCCCAGCACUUCGGGAGGCUGAGGCAGGUGGAUCACCUGAGAUCAGGAGUUUGAGACCAGUCUAACCAACAUGGAGAAACCCCAUCUCUACUUAAAAGAAAAAAAAAAUACAAAAUUAGCCGGGUAUGGUGGUGCAUGCCUGCAAGGGAGGAGACCACCCCUUAUAUUGUCUUAUGCCCAAUUUCUGCCUCCAAAGAAAGAAGAAGUAAAAACUAAAAGUCAGAAAUGGAAUUCACAAGCAGACAGCCUGGCGCCACACUCUGGGUCUGGUAGUUAAAGAUCAACCCCUGACCUAAUUGGUUAUUUGCAUAAGAAAAAGCACUGUGAAGAUCCCUGUCCUGUUCUGUUCCAUUCUAAUUACCGGUACAUGCAGCCCCCAGUCAUGUACCCCCUGCUUGCUCAAUCGAUCACGACCCUCUCACGUGGACCCCGUUAGAGUUGUGAGCCCUUAAAAGGGACAGGAAUUGCUUAUUCAGGGAGCUCGGUUGUUGGAGACAUGAGUCUUGCCGAAGCUCCUGGCCAAAUAAAGCCCUUCCUUCUUUAACUCGGUGUCUGAGGGGUUUUGUCAGUAGCUUGUCCUGCUACACCUGUAAUCCCAGCUACUCGGGAGGCUGAGGUGGGAGAAUUGCUUGAACCCAGGAGGCAGAGGUUACAGUGAGCCGAGAUUAUGCCAUUGCACUCCAGUCUGGGUAACAAGAGCAAAACUCCAUCUCGAAGAAAAAAAAGUUUCUGAAUGGGGAGCUGUUCUGGAGUAUGCAGGAAGGAUUGGGGUGGGAGGAGAACAAGAAGAGGAAUACGUUUUAGCGAUAUUGCAGUUAUUUCAGGUUAAAAGUGAUAGAGUCAGGGGCUGAACCAGGAUAUCGGCCAUAGAAGCAGAAAGGAAGGGGUAUGUGUGAAAGAAAUUAAGAAAGAAGAUGUCAGGCCUCUGAGCCCAAGCUAAGCCAUCAUAUCCCCUGUGACCUGCACGUAUACAUCCAGAUGGCCUGAAGCAACUGAAGAAUCACAAAAGAAGUGAAAAUGGCUGAUUCCUGCCUUAACUGAUGACAUUACCUUGUGAAAUUCCUUCUCCUGGCUCAGAAGCUCCCCUACUGAGCACCUUGUGACACCCCACCCCUGCCUGCCAGAGAACAACCCCCUUUGACUGUAAUUUUCCACUACCUACCCAAAUCCUAUAAAAUGGCCUUAUCCCUAUUUCCCUUUGCUGACUCUCUUUUCAGACUCAGCCCACCUGCACCCAGAUGAUUAAAAAUUUUUAUUGC